rnacentral:misc_RNA from 1 species
GAUGAAGAACGCAGCGAAAUGCGAUACUUGGUGUGAAUUGCAGAAUCCCGUGAACCAUCGAGUCUUUGAACGCAAGUUGCGCCCGAAGCCGUCAGGCCGAGGGCACGCCUGCCUGGGCGUCACACGCCGUUGCCCCCCCGCGCCCCGCACCCAACUCUUUGGGAGCGACCGCGGGGCGGGCUGAUGAUGGCCUCCCGUGCGCUCCGCCGCGCGGUUGGCCCAAAUACCGAGUCCCCGGCGACGUGCGCCACGACGAUCGGUGGUUGAGAGACCUCUGUCGCAAGUCGUGCGCGCCCGUCGCGUCACGCGGGCUCGCAUAGCGCCUCGCGCCGCACCCGGUGCGGAGCUUUCAACGCGACCCCAGGUCAGGCGGGGUUACCCGCUGAAUUCAAGCAUAUCAAUAAGCGGAGGA